GCCACCUUAGCUCAGUUGGCUAGAGCGCCACUUUCGUAAAGUGGAUGUCCGCGGUUCGAAUCCGCGAGGUGGCU
rnacentral:tRNA from 1 species